rnacentral:tRNA from 1 species
GGUGGUUCACUGGUAGAGCACUUGCCUUGCAUGCAUGAGGCCCUGGGUUCAAUUCCUCAGCACCA